UCCUCUAAGGGCUGAUCGACCCUGGGUGCAGCUGUGGGGAAGGUGGAGCUGCAGGAGCCCAAUCACUGCAGCAACCGCCCCCUAAUAAAACCCAGAGGGGGAAGAGGAGCUGGUUUUGGAGGGUGCAGGUCUCUUGGGGGCAGAGCUUUGACACUGGCUCAUGUUUGAUUUUUAUCUAUUUAUUUAUUAUUUUUUGGUGAGGAAGGGGCUGGAGCUCUGAAGAUAAAAGUGCUUCCCUGGGAUGCUGAGCAGAACAAAGCUCUGAAGAUGUUUGUCCACCAAGUGGCUGGGAUCCCAUACCGAGGUCAGCUGAAUAUCCCCUUUUCCUGGAAGAGGCAAGAGAUAUCUAACAUGUACUCCGUUCAUCCUCAAAUUCUCUUCUCCCUGUUUCUGUGUGCCGAUUUCUAUGAGCUGGUUUUUGGGGAGGCUGCUGAUUCUCAGAGGUUGUGAUGUCCUUCCCCUAAAGCUCUUGAGCAGCGGGGUCGGACCCGUGGUGAGCCCAGGGCUGCCCUGGCAAGGUGACCUGCAGAGCACAAAGUCCUCCUGGGGCCCCCUGAUAUGGGAACAGGACCCCAAAAGGAUGCACACAGGGGCUGGCUUUGCUUGAAGAAACAUCUGAGCAAGAGCUGUGUCUGCCUUGUAUCCCCUAGAAUAUUUUUCCCCCCCGUGUGGGCUGUUUAUAACUAGAAGACGGAGGAGAUGUCCUCCUGCUGGAGCCACAGGUGGCUUCUCCUCCACGUGGAGCGCUGCUGCCACGGAGGAGAUCUGCAGCACGGCAACGCUGCGGUCCGAAAUCGAACCAGGAGUUCAAUUGUUUGCACAGCCGAAUGCAGAAAAUGAUGGGAAAUGGCACGGAGCCCAUUAGUUUGGAGAGAGACUUUGCUUUCUCAGCACCCGCUUCCAUCCUCGGACACAUGAGGCUGAGCUUCAAAGGCAGCGAGGCUGAGAAAAUCAGGUUGCCUACCACGGAAAGGAGAAGUGUCUCUAGGCUGGCGAUGCCUGCCCUCUCUUUUUGCUGCAGGAAGGCUGGGUUUGCCCAGGGGCUGCAGGGUGCAAACACCCCUCGUGUCUCCGGCCAUCCGCACGUGGUGCUGAGCAGGCGACCCCUGCCCCCGUGCAGCUUCAACCUGGCUGCUCCUCGUUGCCACUUAAACGAGUAAAACCCAUCUGUCUGCCAAUUUUCCUGGUGGAAACUGUUCAAGAACGAUGCUAAAAGAAAAAUGCUUUCAAACAGGAAUGGGUGCUUUCCAUUUUUAUUUUUUUUUCUUUUCCUUCAGCUAUUGCUGUCUUAUUAAGUACCGGUUACUAAUUAGCCCUCGUGUCUCAUUAAAAUCAUAGUGGUUUCUUUACCUACUGAAAAUUGUAAAUAGCCUUUAUUCUGGUCUUUAAUGCAUGUUGAUUGAAGUAUUUAUUGAAUGCCACUUAUGCAGCUCUGUGGCUGCAUUCAUUUGCUUCUUAAGACAUUUACUAAACCAUUGCUUAGAAUUACUCCAACCCAUCUGGCCUAUUAAGUGUUUGUGCAGAGUGUACCCGAUUUUUCCCAUCCACUUCCUCAAUUAAUAUUAAAUAUUCAAGGGAAUUGAAUUUUUUUUUCCUUCCUGCCAUCCAUCACGGCGUGUCAGGGUAGAACAUCACCCAGCGGUGGAGCCCAGGGGCUGGACGUGGGACCUGGAGGUGGAAGCAAGUAACGGGUAACUUCAAGGAUAUCAAAAUCAAAUUAUUCCACCCAAUUUUGACACAGGGAAAAGGAGCCCUGGAAGCAGGGAUUUAAAAGCCACCCCGCAUCCCUGGGGAGGCGUGAGCACGCAGCGGAUUAGAAAUGAGCUCUGCUGGUAGCUCUGGGGAGAAGCACUUGUGCUAAACCUGUUGGCAUUCGGCAUGACAGCUACGUGAUUUCACUCCUGUAGUCAGCCUCGCAAACAAAACCGAGAACAGAACAUGUCAC